UACGAAGGGGGCUAGCGUUGUUCGGAAUCACUGGGCGUAAAGCGCACGUAGGCGGAUCUUUAAGUCAGGGGUGAAAUCCCGGAGCUCAACUUCGGAACUGCCCUUGAUACAGCACGUCUUGAGUCCGGAAGAGGUGGGUGGAAUUCCUAGUGUAGAGGUGAAAUUCGUAGAUAUUAGGAAGAACACCGGUGGCGAAGGCGGCCCACUGGUCCGGUACUGGACGCUGAG
rnacentral:rRNA from 1 species